rnacentral:rRNA from 1 species
AGUGAACGCUGGCGGCGUGCCUAAUACAUGCAAGUCGAACGAAGUGGCGCACGGGUGAGUAAUAUAUAGUUAAUAUGCCCUACAAAGAGGAACAACAGAUGGAAACGACAGCUAAUACCUCAUAGUGGAGGAUGAGACUAUAUCGUAUCAGCUAGUUGGUAAGGUAAUGGCUUACCAAGGCUAUGACGCGUAACUGGUCUGAGAGGAUGAUCAGUCACGUUUGAACUUAGACCCGGUCCAAAUUCCGACGGGAGGCAGCAGUAAGGAAGUUUGCGCAGUGGGGGACACCCUGACGCAGCAACGCCGCGUGGAGGAUGACACUUUUCGGAGCUUACACUCCUUUUAUCAGGAAUGCGGUACCUGAUUAAUAAGCACCGGCUAACUCCGUGCCAGCAGCCGCGGUAAUUC